UCUCCGUUGGUGAACCGGCGGAGGGAUCAUUACAGAGUUUUCACAACUCACAACCCUUGCGAACCGUACCCAUUCUGUUCUCGUUGCUUCCGGCGGGGGGGACGGGGGGGCCCGAAACGGCCUCCCCGCCCCGCCCGCCGGGGGCGGCGGGCCCUACGAACCUUUAUAUCUCAACCACCAGAAACCGUCUGAGAAAACAAACAAAAGAAUCAAAACUUUCAACAACGGAUCUCUUGGCUCUG
rnacentral:misc_RNA from 1 species